rnacentral:rRNA from 1 species
GAUGAACGCUAGCUACAGGCUUAACACAUGCAAGUCGCGGGGCAGCAUGGGGGUUGCUUGCAAUCCCCGAUGGCGACCGGCGCACGGGUGAGUAACGCGUAUCCAACCUGCCCUUCACCACGGGAUAACCCGGCGAAAGUCGGACUAAUACCGUAUGUUGUCCAUUGACGGCAUCCGAUUUGGACGAAAGGUUUGGCGGUGAAGGAUGGGGAUGCGUCCGAUUAGCUGGACGGCGGGGUGACGGCCCACCGUGGCGACGAUCGGUAGGGGUUCUGAGAGGAAGGUUCCCCACACUGGAACUGAGACACGGUCCAGACUCCUACGGGAGGCAGCAGUGAGGAAUAUUGGUCAAUGGGCGUAAGCCUGAACCAGCCAAGUAGCGUGCAGGAUGACGGCCCUAUGGGUUGUAAACUGCUUUUAUGCGGGGAUAAAGUGGCCCACGUGUGGGUUUUUGCAGGUACCGCAUGAAUAAGGACCGGCUAAUUCCGUG